UCAGUGUUUUAUGAUCUGACAUUAUUGUUCAGCUCAUCAAGGCAAGACAAUGCUGUGUUGAAUACUGAAAUCAGUACUGCCACGUCAGUUCCAGAUGUUUGUACCUCUACCCUCCAACCUCCGAACCCUUUGUAUUGUUCUGUUACAGUUCCAAAAUUAGGUUUCUACCAAGAGGAAAACAUGAUAUCCACCUAAUAAAUAACAGUAAAGAGGGUGAGCUGAUCUUAUAGGCACAUUAGAUAGACCUUUAAAUAAUCAUCUAUCCACACGGUACAGUGUAUUUUCCAAACUACACUCAUUACUUAAAGUAGCUAUGACAGGGUAUGAUAUAUAUAUAAUCAGCAGGGUGCAAUGGGGAAGAAGAAAAGGACUUCCAAAGCCUUUGGCAGGCCGCGCUGUACUACAGUCAAAUCCUGUGACCCCAGGUAUUUGAAAGCGACAAAAAAAGCCUAUGUCUCAUCCUCCUAUGAUAUAAAUGUAAUUCCUAAGUGUGGAAGAAGACAGAAAACAAGCUGCUUUUCCAAGAUGAUCA